rnacentral:rRNA from 1 species
GACGUAGGGCGCGAGCGUUGUCCGGAUUUAUUGGGCGUAAAGAGCUCGUAGGCGGCUUGUCGCGUCGACCGUGAAAACUUGGGGCUCAACCCCAAGCCUGCGGUCGAUACGGGCAGGCUAGAGUUCGGUAGGGGGAGACUGGAAUCCUGGUGUAGCGGUGAAAUGUGCAGAUAUCAGGAGGAACACCGGUGGCGAAGGCGGGUCUCUGGGCCGAUACUGACGCUGAGGCACGAAAGCCAGGGAGCAAACAGG